CCUACGGGUGGCAGCAGUGAGGAAUAUUGGUCAAUGGGCGCGAGCCUGAACCAGCCAAGUAGCGUGAAGGAUGACUGCCCUACGGGUUGUAAACUUCGUUUAUAAAGGAAUAAAGUGAGGCACGUGUGCCUUUUUGUAUGUACUUUAUGAAUACGGAUCGGCUAACUCCGUGCCAGCAGCCGCGGUAAUACGGAGGAUCCGAGCGUUAUCCGGAUUUAUUGGGUUUAAAGGGAGCGUAGAUGGGUUGUUAAGUCAGUUGUGAAAGUUUGCGGCUCAACCGUAAAAUUGCAAUGGAUACUGGCAGUCUUGAGUACAGAUGAGGUAGGUGGAAUUCGUGGUGUAGCGGUGAAAUGCGUAGAGAUAACGAAGAACACCGAUGGCGAAGGCAGCUUACUAAACUGUCACUGACAUUGAUGUGCGAAAGUGUGGGGAUCAAACAGGAUUAGAUACCCCGGUAGUC
rnacentral:rRNA from 1 species